GGAAAAGUGGCUCAGUGGUUAGAGUACUUGCCUUGCAUGCAUGAGGUCCUGGGUUUGAUUCCUCAGCACCA
rfam:Dipodomys ordii contig_44158, whole genome shotgun sequence.